rnacentral:rRNA from 1 species
GCCAAAAAUCUAGCCCCACCCCCACUGAAUAAAUUCACAAACUUUAUACCAUAAACUAAAACAUUUUACUUUUUAAGUAAAGGCGAUUGAAAAAUCUAUUGGAGCUAUACAAAAAGUACCGCAAGGGAAAGAUGAAAUAAAAAUGAAACAAAUGUCACGCACAAAAAAGUAGAGAUUUAACCUCGUACCUUUUGCAUCAUGGUCUAACCAGUCAAACUAAGCAAAAUGACUUUCAGUUUAACCUCCCGAAACCAAACGAGCUACUUCAGGGCAGCUUUAUGAGCCAACCCGUCUCUGUUGCAAAAGAGUGGGAAGACCUUCAAGUAGAGGUGAUAUACCUAACGAGUCUGGUGAUAGCUGGUUGCUCAAGAAAAGGAUUUUAGUCCAACUUAAAGUAUAACUAAUAAUUAAAAAUAUAAAAUUUACUUUAAAGCAAUUCAAAUAAGGUACAGCCUAUUUGAAGCAGGAUACAACCUAAAAAGACGGGUAACUGUAAGUGACAAUAACAAAGUGGGCUUAAAAGCAGCCAUCUUUAAAAAGCGUCAAAGCUUUAUUAUUUUCAUAUUUAAUCUCAAACAAAACCUAGAACCCUCCUCAACUAUUGAGCAAUUCUAUAACCUUAUAGAAAAUUUUAUGUUAGAACUAGUAAUAAGAAGGCGAACUUCACUUUAAUGCAAGUGUAAAUCAGAAGGACCCUCCACUGAUAAUUAACAUCCAUGAACACAAAUUAAUAACACCGCAAGAAAAACUUAAUAUUCCUUAUGUUUACCUAACACAAGAGCAUUACAAGUAAGAUUAAAAGAAAAAGAAGGAAUUCGGCAAAUAUUAACCUCGCCUGUUUACCAAAAACAUCGCCUCUUGACCACUUAUAAGAGGUCCAGCCUGCCCAGUGACCCUGUUUAACGGCCGCGGUAUCCUAACCGUGCGAAGGUAGCGUAAUCACUUGUUCUUUAAAUGAGGACUAGUAUGAACGGCACCACGAAGGUUAUACUGUCUCCUUUUUCUAAUCAGUGAAACUAAUCUCCCCGUGAAGAAGCGGGGAUGAACUUAUAAGACGAGAAGACCCUAUGGAGCUUUAAACCAAACAACAUCUGCUUUAAAAUCUAUACACUCCAGAGAUCCUUAAAUUUAUUAUAGCCCCCUGAUUGUCGGUUUUAGGUUGGGGUGACCGCGGAGAAAAAAUUAACCUCCACACUGAACGGGAUUUUAUCCCUGAGCCGAGAGCCACUACUCGACGCACCAAUAUUAUGACAUCAAUUGACCCAAAUUAUUGAUCAACGAACCAAGUUACCCUAGGGAUAACAGCGCAAUCCGCCUUAAGAGCCCAUAUCGACAGGCGGGUUUACGACCUCGAUGUUGGAUCAGGGUGUCCCAGUGGUGCAGCCGCUACUAAAGGUUCGUUUGUUCAACGAUUGAAACCCUACGUGAUCUGAG